AGGUGUAAAAUGAACAGAGGAAUAAAGGAUUUUGAGGCCUAACAGUUGAUGAUUUUAAUUCACCUGAAAAAACCUUAGAUACCCAAUAAUGUCUAAUUCACACACACUUAUCUCGCAUUUAUUUCAUACAAUGGAUUAUACUUAUUAUGGUUUUUAAAAAUGAGAUACAUGAUGUACCACAAAAAAGGAACUAGGAAGUGUUGAGCCAAUGUAUUGAAUAUUUUUCAGACAUUGGCUUCCUUGAAGAUAAUUUUAACGACUCAGAUGAAGCCAGACAAUAUUGGAGUAAAUUAUGAAACAAAAAGGCAAUACGAUUUUACAGAGCAUGAAUCCAAUUUUAAUAACAGAGGGCUUCAACAUAUUUAAAUUGCAAAGAAACACAUUGGUAUGACAUACCAAUGUUUGGUAUUAUAUAACAC